ACUCCUACGGGAGGCAGCAGUGGGGAAUAUUGGACAAUGGGGGAAACCCUGAUCCAGCAAUGCCGCGUGAGUGAUGAAGGCCUUAGGGUUGUAAAGCACUUUCAGUAGGGAGGAAGGUAGUGUAGUUAACACCUGCACUAUUUGACGUUACCUACAGAAGAAGCACCGGCUAACUCCGUGCCAGCAGCCGCGGUAAUACGGAGGGUGCGAGCGUUAAUCGGAAUUACUGGGCGUAAAGCGCAUGCAGGCGGCCUGUUAAGUCAGAUGUGAAAGCCCGGGGCUUAACCUCGGAAUUGCAUUUGAAACUGGCAGGCUAGAGUCUUGUAGAGGGGGUAGAAUUUCAGGUGUAGCGGUGAAAUGCGUAGAGAUCUGAAGGAAUACCAGUGGCGAAGGCGGCCCCCUGGACAAAGACUGACGCUCAGAUGCGAAAGCGU
rnacentral:rRNA from 1 species